UACGAAGGGUGCUAGCGUUGUUCGGAAUCACUGGGCGUAAAGCGCGCGUAGGCGGCGAUACAAGUCAGAGGUGAAAGCCCGGAGCUUAACUCCGGAAUUGCCUUUGAAACUGCAUUGCUAGAGUGUCGGAGGGGAUAGCGGAAUUGCUAAUGUAGAGGUGAAAUUCGUAGAUAUUAGCAGGAACACCGGUGGCGAAGGCGGUUCUCUGGGCCUUACCUGACGCUGAGGAGCGAAAGCGUGGGGAGCGAACCGG
rnacentral:rRNA from 1 species